rnacentral:rRNA from 1 species
UACGGAGGGUGCGAGCGUUGUCCGGAAUCACUGGGCGUAAAGGGCGCGUAGGCGGCCUUCUAAGUCAGACGUGAAAUCCCCCGGCUUAACCUGGGAACUGCGUCUGAUACUGGGAGGCUUGAGUAUGGGAGAGGGAUGUAGAAUUCCAGGUGUAGCGGUGAAAUGCGUAGAUAUCUGGAGGAAUACCGGUGGCGAAGGCGGCAUCCUGGACCAUUACUGACGCUGAGGCGCGAAAGCUAGGGGAGCAAACAGG